UCCCCUGUGCCAGAUGCAGCAUUCCCACCAUACCCAGCUAUAAACUAAGGGACUAAAGGGUUGGAGAAAGACGCUGUGCCUAGGAAAAAUCUGUUGCUUAGUCACCCGCUGCUGUGCAGGCAGGGGCGGGGCAGUGUCGUGUUGCUAAGGGACCUAUGGUCUUGCGAGACGAACGGGGUCUCCGGGGCUGGCUGCCAGGAUGGGCGUGGGGGUGGGGUGGGUCUUGGGUCCCUUUAGACACAGCGGGGAAAUGAAGACCGAAGGGUGGGGCGGUGAGGGAUGGGCGGAAGUGACGUCGUGUGGGGCGGAUCCAGCCGUGUACAAUGGGCCAUGGAGUUCCCGUUCAAUGUGGAUGUCCUGCUCCCGGAGCGGAUCACGGUGCUGGACCAGCAUCUGCGACCCCCAGGCCGCCGACCCGGAACCACAACUACUGCCCGUGUUGAUCUGCAGCAGCAAAUUAUGACCAUUGUAGAUGAACUGGGCAAGGCUUCUGCCAAGGCCCAACAUCUUUCAGCUCCCAUCACCAGUGCAUCAAGGAUGCAGAGUAACCGCCACGUUAUGUAUGUGCUUAAAGACACUUCAGUACGACCGGCUGGAAAAGGAGCCAUUAUUGGCUUCCUCAAAGUUGGAUACAAGAAACUCUUUGUACUGGAUGAUCGUGAGGCUCACAAUGAGGUAGAACCACUUUGCAUCUUGGACUUCUACAUCCAUGAGUCACUUCAACGCCACGGCCAUGGGCAAGAACUCUUCCAGUAUAUGUUGCAGAAGGAGCGAGUUGAACCACACCAACUGGCUAUUGACCGACCCUCACCAAAGCUGCUCAAGUUCCUGAAUAAACACUACAACCUGGAGUCCACAGUCCCACAGGUGAACAACUUUGUGAUCUUUGAAGGCUUCUUUGCCCAUCAACAUCGGCCCCCUGCUCCCUCUCUGAGGGCAACUCGACACUUUCGCGCUGAUGAGGUUGAUACUACGCCCGCUGCUCCAACAAGGAAGCUGCCACCCAAGAGAGCAGAGGGAGACAUUAAGCCAUACUCUUCUAGUGACCGAGAAUUUCUGAAGGUAGCUGUGGAGCCUCCUUGGCCCCUUAACAGGGCCCCUCGCCGUGCUACACUUGCAACCCACCCACCCCCCCGCUCCAGCAGCCUGGGAAACUCGCCAGAACGGGGUCCCCUCCGCCCCUUUGUGCCAGAGCAGGAGCUGCUGCGUUCCCUGCGCCUCUGCCCCCCACACCCUACUGCCCGCCUUCUGCUUGCUACCGACCCAGGGGGCAGCCCAGCCCAACGCCGCCGUACCAGCUCCCUUCCCCGCUCAGAUGAGAGUCGAUAUUGACAGACAGCUAACCUCCUGCCCCUCCCUGGGAGAUUUGGGGUGGGCAGAGAUUGGUUUCCCUGAGAAUCCUGGACCUACUCUUCUACUGCAUCCCACAGGAUUUCGUGGAACCUGACAGUCCGUAGGAUUCCCUCUUCCCCUUUCUCGGUUAUCAUGGUCAUAGAUGGCCUAAUACUUUGUAGCUUUUCUUACCACAGAAAGCACCCCUUCUCUCCUAACUUGGACUCUGAACAGUCUCCCACAGACAGUCUGAUUCGCUGCCAGACUUGUUGGCUGGGUGGUUCAUACUGAUUAUCCAGGGAAGCACAUUCUAGCUUGCUGUCAAGACUCUAGAGCACCAUAGAAGACCCAAGAGCCUUCUCUGCCAGGGAAACCUUUUAAGGAGUCCUGUCUGUAGAAAAAAUCCCAGAAUCCCUCUACAGUGUCUGCUGGUGGCUCUAAUACUGCUUUGUGCUGCCUACCACACUUUUCCCAGCUCCUCCCAGCCUGCUGAUGCCAAGCAGUGAGCUCUGCUUCAGAGCAGUCCAGUAAGGUAGGACAGGGACCUAACAGCUUCCCAAAGGGAUCCACUCAACAUUGCCAAACUCUUUUAAUUUCCACAUUUUUGUAUGUGUCAGGGAACCCUUAGGUGAUGUAUGGAGCUCUAAAGACUCACCAUAUUUCUAAAGACACCACCACUUCCCAGAAGCAAAUUCUGUGAGGUAGUUUCUUGGCAGUAGAGCCCAGUUAGCACCCUGGGAUCACUCUUAGCCAUGUUUCAGAAGGUAAACCUGAGUGUCAAAGAUCUGUUAGCUCCUGGAAUCCCCUCUUGCAACUACCCCUCCCCAGUAGCUAGAUGCUGAUAUAUUCCUGUCCUGUGAGAUUAUCUUGAGAUGAUAGAACUCUUCCUCUGCCCUUCCUUCCUUCAUAGCAAGAACUUUCUUCCCUGCUCAGUACCCAGGUUUUAGAACAUCCUUCCCCCUCCCUACCCUUUAAAUGUGUGGUAGGUCAGGUACUCCCACUGUGUCCCCUAUGUCCUUGGGAGCAGGAUCUCCCUCUCUCUCGGCUCAAUCCUCCUUUUCCUUCUCCCUCUCAAUGUUGUCUGAAUAAAUUGUGAAUUCUUUUGUGUUUUUAAAUGGACAUUUUCAAUGAAAAAAACAAACAAAAACAAAACCUUAAGGUCUCAGCCUCAUUUAUGCAUCAUUCCUGAGGUAUCAGGACCUGUCCCUCAUCUUCCUCACCUCUGGGAUCUACAGCUCCUCCAGUAAGGAGUCUCAGAGCUCCCUUUGCAGGAUCUGGUGUCUGCCCAUCCCCACUUCACUGCUAGACAUUUUUCGAAUUCUGUGUCCUUGCAUAUAGUCACUGGAUUCCACUGUGUAGGCUUCUAUAUCCACUCCCCUAUCCCCUCCAGAAACCUCCAGCUCUCCCCAGUGACUUGUACCCUUUACCUUAGGCCAGCUUAUACUGAGAUUUCAAGAUUUAUCAACAUCUCUGGAAUCCACUCAUUGCCUCUUGAGUGUUCCCUUGAUUUCCUGGCCUCUCCACCACUAAACCCCUGGACCUCUCUCAAGACAAUCUUUUUUCUGUUGAGAGUCCAGCAGUCUGUCACCUCUCUCCAAAAGGCUCCCUUCAUUUUCCCCCUGAAUUCAGCCUUGCCACACACUCCCUAUUUCCCCCUGGUCUGAGGUACCCUAUAAUGAAGGUAACCAUUUUUCCAAGCCAAACAUCAGGACACCUGGUCCAACAAACUUCUUGCCUAUAUGUGAGUCACUUUUAUAUGGUUUAUAUCACAUUUAGCCUUACCUCAACUAGAAAUAAUAAAGCAACAAAUCAGGACUGCUCAAGAAAAUCUUAGGGAAUAAAAUGAGCUCCCUCCCCUUUUCUGGGUCACAGCUUAGCUUAAAACCCUUCAAAAAUGAUAGUUACCCCUUUCUUCUCUUUGCUGUGCUGUUCCUUUUAUUCCUCUCCUCUAAUUCUUCCAUACCCACUCAUCUUUCAUCCUGUAGCCUCUUCCCUAUCAUCUCCCAUUUCUUCUGCAGGGAGACUUCCCCAGGGUUGGUAGACCAAAGCUGCUGCUAUAGCCGCCCUGAGGGGUUGAAUUCCUCAUCCCCCACUACAGGCAACCAAGAACUGAAGCAGGGGAGACAGGAAACAGAGAAUAGGU